CACGGACUUUUAAAUGGAUUCAGGUAAGCGUGUUAUUUUACACAAAAUUAUGUGAAAACAAAAUGUAUUCUGUAUAGUAUCUCAUUUCUUUUUUAAAAACACACAGUUUGGUUUUAGACAACAGUGGGCAGAAUAGAGACUUCAGGAGAAGUGUACGUGAUGUAAGAGAUUAUUUCAUCCAUCCAUACAAGAAUGCACGCGGUCAGAUAAUACGAAGACCAUUGGGGGAGUUACGGAUCGUUACAAACCCAUUAGCUGAAUCGUCAAGAAGGGAAUCUGAAAAUCGUGGAUCAGUUCAUCACGCUGGAACAGGAGGAGGACGUCACGGGCCCACGAGUGGAUUCUAUCGCUCGGCGCGCGGAAGUUUGCGUGAGGACAUUACAGCGUCUACGAGAGACACAGCGAUCGCAGGACCAUCUUCACAUCCUACACUACAUCAAUCGUGUGUAAAAAAGGAUAGCCUCGCUCUUUUGAACGAUUACUUACGUAGGCUGAACAAGAGCGAACUUUGCUGCGAAGACGAGUUGGUCGAGCAGGUUCCAGCAGGACAACAAACCAUCUCAUCUGAACCAGGACAACAAACCAUCUCAUCUGAACCAGUACAACAAACCAUCUCAU